rnacentral:lncRNA from 1 species
AGAAGCCAUCCAAAGGCACCUGCUUCUCACAGCACAGCAGCUUCUUGCAGCCCUCCCUCCUGUCUUGUUUCUCCCUUGGUUGAGAGGAGAGGCCAGAACCGGAUGCAGCCAGUUCCAACAGUAAUGAAUUGCUCUAAGGUGUGGAGCCAAGAACCGGUGACAAGGUCAGGAAAUUCCACCCUGGGGCACUGACCCAACUAAGAGACUGUGCAUGAUGGCUAAGUUCAGAGCUCUGAGGAGAUGGUAAAACUCAUUUGCAAUGAAACAAGCUAUUUCCCAACUCUGCAGCCAGAAACCAUCCUCCUGGCUGUCUCACCUCUCCAUGGAUCUGGAGUCUUCAGGAGCCAGGACUGGACUGGGAUGUGAGGCUGGGUCUUCCGAGCUGUAGAUGGGAGCAGGAAGAUGGAUCUCCACUCACAAUCUCAGCACAAGGCUCAGCUCUCUCCUGGCAACUCGCCCAUCAUCUGUUUCUGAGUUCUUCUGACAUACAGGUGGGUGUUUUCCAAACUGUGGAGCCAUGAAAUUGAUUUAGAGGGUCAUGACCCAGUAUUACAAGA